UACGGAAGGGGCAAGCGUUGUUCGGAAUCAUUGGGCGUAAAGCGCUCGCAGGUGGUUCGAUGCGUCGUGCGUGAAAGACCCCGGCUCAACUGGGGGGUGUCGUGCGAUACGGUCGGACUGGAGGCCAGUAGGGGGAUGCGGAAUUCCGGGUGUAGUGGUGGAAUGCGUAGAGAUCCGGAGGAACACCAGCGGCGAAGGCGGCAUCCUGGACUGGUCCUGACACUCAUGAGCGAAAGCGUGGGGAGCGAUCCGG
rnacentral:rRNA from 1 species